rnacentral:rRNA from 1 species
UAGGGAAUCUUCCACAAUGGACGCAAGUCUGAUGGAGCAACGCCGCGUGAGUGAAGAAGGUUUUCGGACCGUAAAGCUCUGUUGUUGGUGAAGAAGGAUAGAGGUAGUAACUGGCCUUUAUUUGACGGUAAUCAACCAGAAAGUCACGGCUAACUACGUGCCAGCAGCCGCGGUAAUACGUAGGUGGCGAGCGUUGUCCGGAUUUAUUGGGCGUAAAGCGAGCGCAGGCGGAAG